UUUGGUUUCGGGGAACCACGAUAACGAGAGUUACUGAUUGUUUGCAUUUUACGAGAAAAUGAGUUGAAACUUUCAAUCUCCUCAUCAUCGACUUCAUCUUCUUCAUCAGAAUCGUUAAACUUCAACUCAUUGUCCUUUUUCAAUACAUCCUCUAAAACACCUUUGCAAGUAGUAGCAAUAGUUCUCCUAGGUGACUGUGGGACAAGAUUCCCUUUACGGGAAGGAGUAUUAGCAAGUGCAAAAGACACUUUUGCUGGUCUCUUUAGUCCGCCUGUCGGAGAAGCAAGAGGACUGCAGAGUCUACUGUCAUUCUCCUUCAGUCGGGUGCUUGGAAUUGGACUUCUAGAAAGGCAAUGAACAGACUGGCGUUUUCGGGCAUUUGAAACGAUGCAAGACGAUUGACGAGAGCCAUUAGCUUUCAUGGAGGUAACUUCAUCUUUUGGUUUUGUAGGUAACACUGCAAACGUAACUCGGCCCUGACUGACGGUCGACAUACGCGGAGACUGCUCAUGGGUCGGACCAAUACAAAAUUGUACAGCCGUGCGUUUAGCAGACGGAAUUUUCUCGUGAGAAGGGAUGUCAGUAGUAGC